CAAGGCUCUCUCCUCCACAGAGGCUUUGAGGAGCUACUGUAUUAAAAAUAUAUGCGCUAGACGGUAAUGUUAGUAGCUCCUCAAAGCCUCUGUGGAGGAGAGAGACUA